rnacentral:rRNA from 1 species
UACGAAGGGGGCUAGCGUUGCUCGGAAUCACUGGGCGUAAAGGGUGCGUAGGCGGGUUCUUAAGUCAGAGGUGAAAUCCUGGAGCUCAACUCCAGAACUGCCUUUGAUACUGAGAGUCUUGAGUAUGACAGAGGUGAGUGGGACUGCGAGUGUAGAGGUGAAAUUCGUAGAUAUUGGGAAGAACACCGGUGGCGAAGGCGGCUCACUGGCUCGUUACUGACGCUCAGGCGCGACAGCGUGGGGAUCAAACAGG